rnacentral:rRNA from 1 species
UUAGAGUUUGAUCAUGGCUCAGGACGAACGCUGGCGGCGUGCCUAAUACGUGCAAGUCGAACGCGUCCCGGUUGAUGAAGUUGAGUGCUUGCACUUGACUGAUUCAACUUGGUGACGAGUGGCGAACUGGUGAGUAACACGUGGGUAACCUGCCCCGAAGCGGGGAAUAACAUUUGGAAACAGGUGCUAAUACCGCAUAACAACCAAAACCUCCUGGUUUUGGUUUAAAAGACGGCUUCGGCUGUCACUUUGGGAUGGACCCGCGGCGUAUUAGCUAGUUGGUGAGGUAACGGCUCACCAAGGCGAUGAUACGUAGCCGACCUGAGAGGGUAAUCGGCUACAUUGGGACUGAGACACGGCCCAAACUCCUACGGGAGGCAGCAGUAGGGAAUCUUCCACAAUGGACGCAAGUCUGAUGGAGCAACGCCGCAUGAGUGAUGAAGGGUUUCGGCUCGUAAAACUCUGUUGUUGGAGAAGAACGGGUGUCAGAGUAACUGUUGACAUCGUGACGGUAUCCAACCAGAAAGCCACGGCUAACUACGUGCCAGCAGCCGCGGUAAUACGUAGGUGGCAAGCGUUGUCCGGAUUUAUUGGGCGUAAAGCGAGCGCAGGCGGUUUUUUAGGUCUGAUGUGAAAGCCUUCGGCUUAACCGGAGAAGUGCAUCGGAAACCGGGAGACUUGAGUGCAGAAGAGGACAGUGGAACUCCAUGUGUAGCGGUGAAAUGCGUAGAUAUAUGGAAGAACACCAGUGGCGAAGGCGGCUGUCUAGUCUGCAACUGACGCUGAGGCUCGAAAGCAUGGGUAGCGAACAGGAUUAGAUACCCUGGUAGUCCAUGCCGUAAACGAUGAGUGCUAAGUGUUGGAGGGUUUCCGCCCUUCAGUGCUGCAGCUAACGCAUUAAGCACUCCGCCUNGGGAGUACGACCGCAAGGUUGAAACUCAAAUGAAUUGACAGGAGCCCGCACAAGCGGUGGACCAUGUGGUUUAAUUCGAUGC